AGAGGAACUGUGGCUCAGCGGUAGAGUGUCUGCUUUGGACUCAGAAGGUCCCAGGUUCAGUUCCUGACAUCUCUG
rnacentral:tRNA from 1 species